UUAAACAGCUAAAAGAGUUUAUUUAUAGUGACAUUGUGUGGAAUAGAAAUGAGAGGAAAAAUGAUGAGAAGGUUGAGAUUCUGUUGCGAAGGGGUUGACAUAAUAAGCCUUACGGCAGAGCCAAAGAAAAAAAUUACAAUUAUUGAAAACAAAAAAACAGAGCAAUGGAGCAAAGCUAGUGAUGCAACUGUGAUUCCUCCAAAGAGAAAGUGUGUGAAGAAUAUGGUGUGUAAUUGUUUUGUUAAUUGCAUCUGUGCCAAGUGCUUGAAGAUCAACACCAACACUAUUUCACCUCCAUCACACCCAGCCAACUAUAUAAACAAUAAGCCAACACUUCGCUCGCGGGUGCCAUGAACAUGGGAAUCGAUAUCGUUUUUAUUGCUUGAUGCUUUCAAUAAUGAACAAACAAAAUGAAAAAAAAGAGUGAUUGACUCAUUGAUAUCAUUGUAACUUUCUACUGUAACUUCAUCGUGCUGGAAAUUUAUUUUUAUCGCCCCUA